rnacentral:rRNA from 1 species
AAUCAACGCUGGCGGCGUGCCUAACACAUGCAAGUCGCACGAGAAAGGGGAGCAAUCCCUGAGUAAAGUGGCGCACGGGUGAGUAACACGUGAAUCAUCUACCUCCGAGUGGGGAAUAACUGAGAGAAAUCUUAGCUAAUACCGCAUAACACUUACGAGUCAAAGCGGCAAUGCGCUUGGAGAGGAGUUCGCGGCCGAUUAGUUAGUUGGCGGGGUAAUGGCCCACCAAGACGAUGAUCGGUAUCCGGCCUGAGAGGGCGCACGGACACACUGGAACUGAAACACGGUCCAGACUCCUACGGGAGGCAGCAGUGGGGAAUUUUGCGCAAUGGGGGAAACCCUGACGCAGCAACGCCGCGUGGAGGAUGAAGUAUCUUGGUACGUAAACUCCUUUCGAUUGGGAAGAUAAUGACGGUACCAAUAGAAGAAGCCCCGGCUAACUUCGUGCCAGCCGCCGCAGUAAC